UGCCUUUGUGUUGCCCAUUCAUUGCAUUUUCCAGAUGAGUGAGGUGUCAAACAAGGCAUACAGUGAAUCUUGCAUAGGCUUUCCUUCAGGAACUGAACUGUGUGUCUUGUUCCAAGUUACCUGGCAAGGACAGCG